UAGGGAAUCUUCGGCAAUGGACGAAAGUCUGACCGAGCAACGCCGCGUGAGUGAAGAAGGUUUUCGGAUCGUAAAACUCUGUUGUUAGAGAAGAACAAGGACGUUAGUAACUGAACGUCCCCUGACGGUAUCUAACCAGGAAGCCACGGCUAACUACGUGCCAGCAGCCGCGGUAAUACGUAGGUGGCAAGCGUUGUCCGGAUUUAUUGGGCGUAAAGCGAGCGCAGGCGGUUUCUUAAGUCUGAUGUGAAAGCCCCCGGCUCAACCGGGGAGGGUCAUUGGAAACUGGGAGACUUGAGUGCAGAAGAGGAGAGUGGAAUUCCAUGUGUAGCGGUGAAAUGCGUAGAUAUAUGGAGGAACACCAGUGGCGAAGGCGGCUCUCUGGUCUGUAACUGACGCUGAGGCUCGAAAGCGUGGGGAGCAAACAGG
rnacentral:rRNA from 2 species